rnacentral:tRNA from 1 species
AUAGCUCAGUGGUAGAGUGUAUGUUUAGUAUGCAGAAGGUCUUGGGUUCAAUCCCCAGU